GAAAUGGGAGAGCACGAUGCUAAUUACGUGUUUACGUGGAUGAGGCAGGGUUAAAAACCCAGCUUGCUGAGUGAACAAAAGCAACUGGGUUUUUGAUUCAGCGAUGCCUGAUGCCGGGGCUGGUCUUAGUCCAAAUUCAGUCUCCAUGGAAACAAAACUUCUCUUUAAGCACGCCAUAUCUCUGACAGAGCAAGAGGCUUCUUUUUGGCAGACGUUUUUCCUGUUCUCUGUGCUAAUUUGCUGACGAUGAAUACUUCUGGAAUGAGCCGCUUUCUUCUAUCUCAUCAGUCUCCUCUGAAAUGCAACAGGUUUCUACUGUACGACAUGCAGUUUUCUCGCUUGAAACAAAGGAGAGUUGGUGAAACCGACUACAGGAACUCAUGCAUUGCUAGUGAGCCCUCUGGGAACUCUGAGCACCGUGCGAUUUCUAGGAGGAAGUGCGGCGGCAGCACACAGAGAAGCGUUUGAGCUCCACUGAGGACUGGAGGCAAGCGACCCACCUGUCCCUAGACAGCCAUGCAGAGAGGGUGUGUUAAUGGGAGGAUCAAUCUACGCCUAGAAAGAAGGUAGGAAAAAACACAGUAUUUACCCUGUAGAGAGCCUAGCAUCUACCAUAUGUUGCAAAGUGCUC
rnacentral:lncRNA from 1 species